UCCACGUGCUGAUUUGUUCCCAUUAUGUCAUUUGGAGAAAAAUGAUACACUAGUAUUGACAAACCAAAGUAAAAGAGGAAUAUUUAUCUAUAACCGGAGAGAUAAUAGACUAAUGAAAAUCUCUAACCCUCUUUGGUACACUUGCGCCAAUUAUGUUGAAAGCUUGGUAUCUUAUUGUUGAAAGUAAGUUCUUCUACCGCAAUUUACUUGUUUCAAGUUCACUUACUUCUGUUAAUAUUUUCUCAUGAAGGGUUUGACAACUUUUGAAUCUUUUGACAGUUUUUCUCAUGAAGGGUUCAAUGACUUCUUGAUUCAUUUUGGAUUCAUAAUUUGUCCGCAAAUUCUCGCGUUUAAGUGUUUGUUUCAUCAUGAUUCAUGACCUUGAAGCAAAAGCCAUUUACAAACCAUAUAGAAAUCAUGUAUUAGGUUCAAAAAUGGAUUUUCUUCUUUUAGUUUUCUAGAGUAGAGGUUGAAUUUUAUAUAGAAGUAAUUUUCUCUAAUUUCAGUUUUCUUUGCAUUUCAACAACAGUCUAUGUUUUGUCUAUGUAUGGUUCGUUUACACUUGAGGUGCUAGUUUAAAAUUUAUUUUGGAGAUGGUUAUAAAAU
rnacentral:lncRNA from 1 species